UUCUAAUGUAGCUGAGUUUGUGUCGGUUCUGUUUGUGGGGCUCCCCAGUUCAUGUGGCCUUGCUUCAUCACCUCCAGUUCUAUGGUCUCAACCAGUUGCUUCAUGGGAAGCCUGGAUGCUACUGUGGUCACAUGGGCAUGAAGACGGGAACAAGAACCAGACUUCAGCAUGGUCUUCAUCACAACUAUUGCCAGGGGGAUUCAAAGUACUUCUGAUAUAUGUGACCAGUUCUCUCCAGCUCCCACCAUUGUGACUUCUCGGCCAUGCCAUUGUGGUGAUAUAUUAUUUUUGAUUUAUUAAAGCUCGCCUGAGGGUAUGGAAAGCAAAGCCAACCACAAGCCAUAGAGCCAGGCAGUGGUGAUACACACCUUUAAUUCCAGUAGCCAUACUAGUUAGCCAUAGAGCCAGGUGGUGGUAGCAUACAUCUUUAAGCCCAGAACUCAAGAGACA
rnacentral:lncRNA from 1 species